CAACCCUCAAGCUCAGCUUGGUAUUGGGUGCCACUGGCAACUGUUGGUGCACCUUAAAAUCAGUGGCGGUGUCAUUCGGCCUCAAGCGUAGUAAGAACUUUUCGCUUUGGAGGUUUGGGUGCGUGCUUGCCAGCAACCCUCAUUUUAUCAAA
rnacentral:misc_RNA from 1 species